UAAACAAUCGUCAAAUACAAUACACUCGCACGAUGUUGCAAAUGCAUCAAAACGAAGACAUGUAACAGCUUUUUAAAAAUGAAUUCUGGGAGUUCAAUGGUCACAAGUACAAACUGCACUGAGAAAUGGGAAUGGACAUGUGAGUGUGUUGAUGACAAUAUAGGUCACAGGUCCAGUGGUUAAAGCAUCCGCCUCGUGAUCGGGAGGUCAAAGGUUCGAGCCCCAUGGAGAGCGUUUGUCUGGGGAAUGUUUGUCAUGGGACUCAUUCUGAAAAGGCCUGUUCGUGAACAGCAAGCUAGAUAAAUGAAUGGUUACCGACUUCUAUCCGCCUAGCCCCUGGCUUAGUAGUAGGAGUUGGGAGGUAAUUGAUGCCCACCACUUAGCAUCAAACUGUCGGCUGGUAAGAGAUGCUGCCAAACCCUGCUUUAAAAUCCCGACCUGUAGCCCCACACCAUCUCCGCUAACAACAAAGGGACCAGGACUUCUGCCCAUGACUACAGUACCAACACAGAGACCACAAAGUAAUGCAUCGGCAAAAAUUCCUAUGAUAUUGUAAUUAAAAUCAUUCCAGAACUACUUUCUUAUAAACAUUAAUUGUAAUUACAAACUUGGUAAAACUUUUUGAAUUGGCAAUAAGAUAAUAUUUUUAUAAAAGUCAUGUUUACUUACAAAACAGUAUCUUCAGUUGUUUCAGAAGUGUGUUUACAUGCGUAAUGGCAAGUUUGUGUUUCUCAUUUAGUCAAUUGAACAUAUAGUCAAGAUUGACAUUAUAUGAUGUAAUAAGAAUUAUUGGCCUUUUUCAUCCCCUGCCAUGAGUGUUGCGGGGGUUAUAGGAAUGGUCUCCAUCUGUCCUUCUGUCCAUCCGUUCGUCUGUAACACUUCUGUGUCUGCUCCAUAUCUCCUAAACCCCUUGAAGGAUUUUCUUGAAACUUGAGUCAAAUGGUCAACUCAAGACAAUGUGCAGAACUCAAGAGUCAGCCAUGUUGGCUCAAGGUCAAGGUCACAGCUCAAGUUCAUAGGUUUUAGCCUUCCAUUUCGUGUGUGCUCUGUAUCUCCUAAACCCCUUGAAGGAAUUUUAUAAAACUUGGGUCAAAUGGUUACCUCAUCAAGACAAUGUGCAGAGCUUAUGAUUCAGCUGUGGUGGCCCAAGGUCA